AUUGAACGCCGGCGGCAUGCCUUACACAUGCAAGUCGAACGGUAACAGGUCUUCGGAUGCUGACGAGUGGCGAACGGGUGAGUAAUACAUCGGAACGUGCCCGAUCGUGGGGGAUAACGAAGCGAAAGCUUUGCUAAUACCGCAUAAGAUCUACGGAUGAAAGCGGGGGACCGUAAGGCCUCGCGCGAUUGGAGCGGCCGAUGUCGGAUUAGGUAGUUGGUGGGGUAAAGGCUCACCAAGCCAACGAUCUGUAGCUGGUCUGAGAGGACGACCAGCCACACUGGGACUGAGACACGGCCCAGACUCCUACGGGAGGCAGCAGUGGGGAAUUUUGGACAAUGGGCGCAAGCCUGAUCCAGCAAUGCCGCGUGCAGGAAGAAGGCCUUCGGGUUGUAAACUGCUUUUGUACGGAACGAAAAGGCUCCGGAUAAUACCUGGGGCUCAUGACGGUACCGUAAGAAUAAGCACCGGCUAACUACGUGCCAGCCGCCGCAGUAAAAC
rnacentral:rRNA from 1 species